rnacentral:rRNA from 1 species
UACGUAGGGCGCAAGCGUUGUCCGGAAUUAUUGGGCGUAAAGAGCUCGUAGGCGGUCUGUCGCGUCCGUUGUGAAAACUCGAGGCUCAACCUCGAGACGCCGGUGGAAACCGUAAGGCUAGAGUCCGGAAGAGGAGAGUGGAAUUCCUGGUGUAGCGGUGAAAUGCGCAGAUAUCAGGAGGAACACCCGUGGCGAAAGCGGCUCUCUGGGACGGUACUGACGCUGAGACGCGAAAGCGUGGGGAGCAAACAGG